GAAACGUAUUUAAGUGUCGCAAAUAUUCUGUGAUCUCGUUAGUCUAUGCUUAGCCUGCCAAACAAAAUGGGAGCCAUGAAGAUCGUACUUUGUUUUGCUCUUGUGUUUGUUGUAUUUUCCGCCAUUGCCGAAGCAGGUAGUUAUGGUGCCAACGUGCAAGGCAUUGGUGGGUACUAUCAACCCCGUCAACAGGUAUAUUCCUACUACCAACCUGCCCGUGUUCAGUAUUACACCACUGGUAUGUACGGAGGAUACAACACUGGAAUGGGGUUAGGCGCCGGGUCAGGCAAUUUAGUGGGAUCCGCGCUACCUAUUCUUCUCAUCUUCCUCCUGCUUGCAAUUUUUGCUCCAGUCUUGAUUGGAAGUCUUGUCUCCUCGAAUGAUAUGGUGUUUAGUGGUAGCAAUUAAAUGAAUUGAUGAACUGGAAAAAGAAAAAGAAAUAGGACUAGCCCGCAUUUCACAGUGUACAAAUUCUCAGAAUAAACUGCAUUAUACAGUUCUGAAAUUUUAUUCCAUAUGCAAAAGAUAUUUUAGACAUGUCUGACGUGAUUAUUAAGCUCAAGUCUUUUACAUAUUGGAAUUUGUAAUAUUAAAUCAGUUUUAUACU